rnacentral:rRNA from 1 species
AACGAACGCUGGCGGCAUGCCUAACACAUGCAAGUCGAACGAGACCUUCAGGUCUAGUGGCGCACGGGUUCGUAACGCGUGGGAACCUGCCCUUAUGUUCGGAAUAACUCCCCGAAAGGGGUGCUAAUACCGGAUAAUGUCUUCUGACCAAAGAUUUAUCGCCUUUGGAUGGUCCCGCGUUGGAUUAGCUAGUUGGUAGGGUAAAAGCCUACCAAGGCGACGAUCCCUAGCUGGUCUGAGAGGAUGGUCAGCCACACUGGGACUGAGAAACGGCCCAGACUCUUACGGGAGGCAGGAGUGGGGAAUAGUGGAACACGGGCGAAAGCAUGAUGCAGCAAUGACGGGUGAGUGCUGAAGGCCUUAGGGUUGUAAAGCGCUUUUAACCGGGAUGAUAAUGACAGUACCGGGAGAAUAAGCUCCGGCUAACUACGUG